rnacentral:lncRNA from 1 species
GAGGAUUAAAUGAGCUGGUGUUGUCAACCCCACAGCAGCCUCAGGUUGGGUCCUGAGUAGCCACUGAUGGAGGUGUCUCCAUUGCAGAGAGAUGCUGGGUGUGUCACACCUCCAGAGCUUCCUUUGGCUCUCAGAUUCGCUGUGCAGCCUCUUUGAAAACAAAAGCUGCUGGAGGAAUUUCCAGCAGGAGAUUAACUAGGGGUCAAGGGGUCUGGACAGCCAGGGUGGUG